rnacentral:rRNA from 1 species
AUUGAACGCUGGCGGCAGGCCUAAUACAUGCAAGUCGAGCGGCAGCGGGAAAGUAGCUUGCUACUUUUGCCGGCGAGCGGCGGACGGGUGAGUAAUGCCUGGGGAUCUGCCCAGUCGAGGGGGAUAACUACUGGAAACGGUAGCUAAUACCGCAUACGCCCUACGGGGGAAAGCAGGGGACCUUCGGGCCUUGCGCGAUUGGAUGAACCCAGGUGGGAUUAGCUAGUUGGUGAGGUAAUGGCUCACCAAGGCGACGAUCCCUAGCUGGUCUGGGAGGAUGAUCAGCCACACUGGAACUGGGACACGGUCCAGACUCCUACGGGAGGCAGCAGUGGGGAAUAUUGCACAAUGGGGGAAACCCUGAUGCAGCCAUGCCGCGUGUGUGAAGAAGGCCUUCGGGUUGUAAAGCACUUUCAGCGAGGAGGAAAGGUUGGUAGCUAAUAACUGCCAGCUGUGACGUUACUCGCAGAAGAAGCACCGGCUAACUCCGUGCCAGCCGCCGCUGUAAAAC